AGCAAACCUGGAAGGAAGAGGACAGCGCUUUUCACUUCCCAGACUGAUUUAUGCUCCACAAACAGCAUCACACGCGGCCGCUGACAAUUUCACGCUGAGUUACUCCUGCUGCCUCCCCGCCAUAACGAUACGUACAGAUGGGAAGGAGAUUUGGUACGCCUCGAAGAGAAGUGAGGGAAUAUUUCUGUUUGACAGCUUGUUUUCUUUGGUCAGUGCAGCGAAGGAUUUUAGUUCAUUAUUUCACGUCUAGGCUCAGUUCCCAGCCACCAAAGGGACAGCUGAAGCCGUGGGUUUAGAUAGAGACUGAAAUGUGUCUCCUAGUUCUGCCUUCGCGAGCGAGCAGGAUGUGCCUGGGGAACGAAUCAACUGCUGUAAGCUGAGUUCUGAAACCCCUUUAAUUGGGCAAAAAAAAGGGGGGAAUUUGAAGCUUUAAGCACUUUGGGAGCCAAAUGUCCUAAGCUAUGGGGCGCAGGCGCUGGUUGCACCCGCGGGAGGAGCUGGUGGGGGAGGAAGAGGAGGAGGAAGAGCAGCAGGGAGGCAGCAGUGGCACCGGCAGGGACCAGUGGCUCCAGCUCUUGUGCCCGGGUACCUCGUGCGGUGCCCUCGCUUUCACCCCCCCGCCUAAUACCCAUUCAUGAUUUAGGGUUAGUCUUGGCUUCGGACAGGGAGGCUAGAACCGUAACACGAUCCGCAAGAGCGCAGGGUAAAGAACAGCAGUUAGGAAUAAUAUUUUCUUCAUAUGGCAAUUUGGAAAGCCAAGGCUGGGGGAGGUUGGGGUCUGUUAUCUCCGCAGAGGUGCCAGCCCUGCCAGCGAGGUCAUUUGCAGCUCCACCAGGGACGCUUUUGUAGCCUGACAUCAUCUAUCUCAACACAUGGGGUGCCUGAGCCCAGGAUUUAAGGAUUACAUCAAAAACCGACUGUUGGAAACGGGUGCGAUUCAGGUCCCUAAAACUCUCUUCAGGGCUGUCUCUGACACAGGGGCCAUUUGGGCAGGAGAAUCCCCUGCAAAGAAGGGGCUGGCGGAGGCUGGCCGCGAGGCCCCACAGGCUGUAAACACUCCGCUUCUCGUUUUCACUCCUGCCUCCCCCUGCAGACACCCAAAAAGCCAGCAGAGCCUUUCAGGAUGCUGAGAGCAAGGCGUGCAGGCUGUUUACGGCUUAUCACCGAAAGGCCAAAGCUGCCUCUCCCCGAACGUGUCAGGAGAAGCUAUUUACUGCCACCGCCGAAAACUCCUGUAAGGCUCCAAGGCAUCAUCCCACGGACCAUGUGAACAGCUUGAAAAGGUCAGGUUAAGAAAAACGUAGAUACAGAGACCGGCUGCGGUGUAACCUGGCUGCACAACUCGCCCUUGGAAGCGGGCAUUUGGUGCUGCAAGGAGGAGCCCAUAAAUUGGGACCCACGGACCCGGCUUCUUCUCCCGCAUGCCUGCAGUGCGCUGGUGUGUGCCCGUGCUCCAAUCCAGCUGCAGCUGUUGUGUGCCCGUGUUUGCAGUCCUGAUGGGUUUGCUUUCCAGGAACAUUUGUGUUUUGUUGUUUCCAGUGUGUAAGGAAACCGGGGUUUGGCUUUGGUAAUCCUCAAAAGCAGCAAAAAGCCCGUGCCUUCAGAACAAGCCUCACCAGAGCCUGCUGGAGCGAGCAACAGGUUUGCGUUGGCUCGAGUGAGCUUUUAACUGGGGCCUGGUCGUCUCCCAGAGCUAUGGCACACUUCAAGAUGCGGGGAAAGUGGAGCCAAGUGGGCUGGGUGGACCUGGGCUGCCUUGGUUUGCUGCAGAGCAGCCGGCAGCACUCCGAGUGGUGCCAGAGGGGAGCCGGACUCUGUACAAGUUCACGCUCAAUUUCAAGUGAUGGCAUUCGAGAAGGAAGCACGCUUUGUGCGGAAGCCUUGCAGAUCUCACUGGCUAAACGGCUGGGUGUGCUCCAUGCUUAGCCCCAGGCUCCAGACAAAGAAAAAGUCAAACCAAGGCUUCGGCAUCCCUGGAAACGUCGCUGCCUCUUCCCGAGCCUCUUCAUCUGCAGCCUCUCUUUGAAGUCAAAGUCUCUGGAAGCUCAGCAUCCAUCCCAAAGGGACUUUGACCUUA